CAGCAGCCGCGGGAAUACAGAGGGUGCGAGCGUUAAUCGGAUUUACUGGGCGUAAAGCGUGCGUAGGCGGCUUCUUAAGUCGGAUGUGAAAUCCCUAAGCUUAACUUAGGAAUUGCAUUCGAUACUGGGAAGCUAGAGUAUGGGAGAGGAUGGUAGAAUUCCAGGUGUAGCGGUGAAAUGCGUAGAGAUCUGGAGGAAUACCGAUGGCGAAGGCAGCCAUCUGGCCUAAUACUGACGCUGAGGUACGAAAGCAUGGGGAGCAAACAGGAUUAGAUACCCCAGUAGUCCCUGUCUCUUAUAC
rnacentral:rRNA from 1 species